rnacentral:lncRNA from 1 species
UUUGCCGUCUUGAAGAUUUCAUUAAACAAUCCCGUCAACCACCUCAGACCAGCCUCUCCAACGAACUUCCAAAACUCCACCGGUAUCUCAUUCGGCCCCGUCGCCCUACCCCUUCGCAUCCUGCGAACAGCCUGUCUAACCUCUUCUACCUUAAAACGUCUACAAUAGCUAAAAUCCCGACACUCCUCUGAGUGCUCCAGUUCCCCUAACACAAUAGCUCUAUCCCCUUCGUCAUUCAAGAACUCCCAUAUUCAAAAAUUGAAGGUAGCGGAAAUGAGAAUAUGGCGUUAGAUGUGUUGACUUACUAGAGGAGAUAGAGAUGAGAAUGAGAUUAUUCGGGAGAAGAGGUGGGAGUGGCUUUGGUGGAGGACAAGAUGCGGGAAGGAAGGCUGAGAUGGUUUGGGAAUGUGAUGAGGAGGGGCACGGAUGCCCCAGUACGUAGGUGCGAGCGGCUAGCUUUGGAUGGUGUCAGGAGAGGUAGAGGUAGGCCGAAGAAGUACUAGAGAGAAGUGAUUCAACAGGACAUGGAGCUGUUACAGCUGUUUGAGGACAUGACCCUGAAUAGGAAGGUGUGGAGGUCGCGAAUAAGGGUAGAAGACUAGUGCGUGGGUGGGUUGUAACUAGUAGUUAGGGAGCUCCAAUGUAGCCGGGUUAGUAAACCUAUGACUGUGUACAUUGGUAGGAGCCACUAGUGUAUGCUACUACUAGGGGGCGCCCUAUUCUCCUUUUCUAUUCCUUUCCCUUUUCUUAUUUCUUAUUUCCUGUUUUUUUAAAUUUUUGUAUUGCUCUUUUUCAUGGCUCGCUUAGCUCUACUGUUAUUAUUUCUCAUUUCUUAUUUCGUUUAUGCCACCCAUUCCGUGUCAUAUAUUACUAUGACCUUGUAGACUAUUCAUUAUCUUGAGCCGGGAGUCUAUCGGAAACAGCUUCUCUACCUCUUCGAAAGUAGCGGUAUAGACUGCGUACAUUUUACCCUCCCCAGACCCCACUUGGUGGGAAUACACUGGGUUUGUUGUUGUUGUUGAUUCAGAUAAAAAAACCUCUAGAACGAUAACAGUAUCUAACAACAUUGUCAGAACAUACAAAUUACAAUGUUUCAUCCAAUUAAAG